rnacentral:rRNA from 11 species
UAUGGUGAUAAAAGCAAGAGGGAUACACCUGUACCCAUGCCGAACACAGAAGUUAAGCCUCUUAACGCCGAUGGUACUACGAUGGAAACGUCGUGGGAGAGUAGGUAGUCGCCAAAC